GGGCAUUGCUGAGGAAUAUCAAAAGGCCAAGACAUGAAAAGGAAGACAGCAGUCAACAAGAACAAACUUACUGUCAGGAUCUGCUAGACACGGGCAGUGCAAGCUCUGAGUGACUCAAAAGCUACACAACACUGCUACCUGAGAAGAAGAAAUCAUGCUGGGCUCAAUGCAGCACAGAGUGAUUGUACAGCUUUUGGAUUAGAAGAGACUUGCAUUCAGAGAGCUCAGUGCACAGAUAAGAAAAGGUCACUUCUGCUUACAGAAUACCAUACAGAUGUUUGAAAGGGAAUUGUCAAACAGCUUACUUAAUCAAAAUCCAAACAAAUACUGAUAUGAAGAUAUAUAUAAAAGAGACAGAGAGAAGUUAAAGUCACCAAAUCCUAAAAUGGACAUCAAAAGAAAUGUGCCCUCUGAAAGGGUUGCCAAGAAAGAGAAGAUACAGAGAGUGAAGUCAAUUUUGCUGAGUACCACCAUGGUGCAGGUACAUAUUUUUUAACUUAGAGAUUUCAAAAACUUGUUUGCUCUGCAUGUUGACUCUAACUGCUACUCUAAAAGGUCAAAAAAUGAUAUAUUAUCUGUUGAUGAAACUUUGAC